rnacentral:rRNA from 1 species
GUGGGGAAUCUUCCACAAUGGACGAAAGUCUGAUGGAGCAACGCCGCGUGAGUGAAGAAGGGUUUCGGCUCGUAAAGCUCUGUUGUCGGGGACGAAUGUGCAGUAUUUGAAUAAAGUACUGCAAUGACGGUACCUGACGAGGAAGCCACGGCUAACUACGUGCCAGCAGCCGCGGUAAUACGUAGGUGGCAAGCGUUGUCCGGAAUUAUUGGGCGUAAAGGGAGCGCAGGCGGGAAGGUAAGUCGGUCUUAAAAGUGCGGAGCUCAACCCCGUGAUGGGAUCUAAACUAUCUUUCUUGAGUGCAGGAGAGGAAAGUGGAAUUCCUAGUGUAGCGGUGAAAUGCGUAGAUAUUAGGAGGAACACCAGUGGCGAAGGCGACUUUCUGGACUGUAACUGACGCUGAGGCUCGAAAGCCAGGGGAGCGAACGGGAUUAGAAACCAGAGUAGUCC